UACAGAGGGGGCAAGCGUUGUUCGGAAUUACUGGGCGUAAAGGGCGCGUAGGCGGCCUUCUAAGUCGCACGUGAAAUCCCUGGGCUCAACCCAGGAACUGCGUCCGAUACUGAAAGGCUUGAAUCCGGGAGAGGGAUGCGGAAUUCCAGGUGUAGCGGUGAAAUGCGUAGAUAUCUGGAGGAACACCGGUGGCGAAGGCGGCAUCCUGGACCGGUAUUGACGCUGAGGCGCGAAAGCCAGGGGAGCAAACGGG
rnacentral:rRNA from 1 species